UGCAAGUCGAACGCAGUAGCAAUACUGAGUGGCAAACGGGUGAGUAUAAUGUGGGUAUCUGCCUUUUGGUUUGGAAUAACAUGAGGAAACUUGUGCUAAUACCGAAUAAGCCUUCACAGGGAAAGUUUUAACGCCGAAAGAUGAGCCCGCACUUGAUUAGUUUGUUGGUGAGGUAAUGGCUCACCAAGACAAUUAUCAAUAGCUGGUCUGAGAGGACGAUCAGCCACAUUGGGACUGAGACACGGCCCAGACUCCUACGGGAGGCAGCAGUAAGGAAUCUUGCACAAUGGGGGAAACCCUGAUGCAGCGAUGCCGCGUGAGUGAAGAAGGCCCUUGGGUUGUAAAACUCUUUCGUCGGGGAAGAAAAUGACUGUACCCGAAUAAGAAGGUCCGGCUAACUUCGUGCCAGCAGCCGCGGUAAUACGAAGGGACCUAGCGUAGUUCGGAAUUACUGGGCUUAAAGAGCUCGUAGGUGGUUAAAAUAGUUGAUGGUGAAAUCCCAAGGCUCACCCUUGGAACUGCCCAUCAAAACUUUUUAGCUAGAGUGGUGAUAGAGG
rnacentral:rRNA from 1 species